rnacentral:rRNA from 1 species
CCUACGGGAGGCAGCAGUGGGGGAUAUUGCACAAUGGGGGAAACCCUGAUGCAGCGACGCCGCGUGGGUGAAGAAGUACCUCGGUAUGUAAAGCCCUAUCAGCAGGGAAGAAAGAAGACGGUACCUGACUAAGAAGCCCCGGCUAACUACGUGCCAGCAGCCUCGGUAAUACGUAGGGGGCGAGCGUUAUCCGGAUUCACUGGGUGUAAAGGGAGCGUAGACGGCCGUGCAAGCCAGGGGUGAAAGCCCGGGGCCCAACCCCGGGACUGCUCUUGGAACUGUGCGGCUGGAGUGCGGGAGGGGCAGGCGGAAUUCCUGGUGUAGCGGUGAAAUGCGUAGAUAUCAGGAGGAACACCGGCGGCGAAGGCAGCCUGCUGGACCGCGACUGACGUUGAGGCUCGAAAGCGUGGGGAGCGAACAGGAUUAGAUACCCCAGUAGUC